CCCUUAGAUGUUCUGGGCUGCACGCGAGCUACACUGAAGCUAUCAACACGUUUUCCCUCCCUGAGAAGGGCGGGUAACCUUUUGAAUCAGCUUCGUGGUAGGGAUCGGGGCUUGCAAUUGUUCCCCGUGAACCAGGAAUUCCUAGUAGACGCGAGUCAUAAGCUCGCAUCGAUUAAGUCCCUGCCCUUUGUACACACCGCCCGUCGCUACUACCGAUUGAACGUUUUAGUGAGGCAUUUGGACCGACGCAUCUCAGUUUAACCGCUGGUUUGUGUUGGAAAGACUUCCAAACUUGAGCGUUUAGAGGAAGUAAAAGUCGUAACA
rnacentral:rRNA from 1 species